rnacentral:tRNA from 1 species
GCCCAGGUGGUGAAAUUGGUAGACACGCGAGGUUCAGGGCCUCGUGUCCGCAAGGACGUGCUGGUUCGAGUCCAGUCCUGGGCA